rnacentral:rRNA from 1 species
AUGCCUUACACAUGCAAGUCGAACGCUAUUUAAUAGAGUGGCGCACGGGUGAGUAACGCGUGGGAACCUGCCUUUUUCUGCGGGAUAACGGUUGGAAACGACCGCUAAUACCGCAUACGCCUACGGGGGAAAGGUCCGCCGGGGAAAGAGGGGCCCGCGUCUGAUUAGCUAGUUGGUAGGGUAAUGGCCUACCAAGGCGACGAUCAGUAGCUGGUCUGAGAGGAUGAUCAGCCACACUGGGACUGAGACACGGCCCAGACUCCUACGGGAGGCAGCAGUGGGGAAUUUUCCGCAAUGGGCGAAAGCCUGACGGAGCAACGCCGCGUGAGGGACGAAGGCCUCUGGGCUGUAAACCUCUUUUCUCAAGGAAGAGAUAUGACGGUACUUGAGGAAU